rnacentral:rRNA from 1 species
CUUGGUCAUUUAGAGGAAGUAAAAGUUGUAACAAGGUUUCCGUAGGUGAACCUGCGGAAGGAUCAUUAACAAAUCGCUCAGUCCCUCGGGACUGGACAUAAGUGCACCCCCUUGGGGGUGUUUACAUUUACGCUUGCUAGUAUGACUGUUUGAUACCAACCAAAGAGACAACUUUUAACAAUGGAUCUCUUGGCUCUUGCAACGAUGAAGAACGCAGUGAAAUGCGAAAACUAAUGCGAUUUGCAUGAAUCUGUGAGUCAUCAAGUCUUUGAACGCACCUUGCACUCUAUUAUUAUAGAGUAUGUCUGUUUGAGAAUCGUAAACACCUCUACUACCCCUUGGGGCAGUGACUUGGCCUCCUCACCGCGAGCUGGCUUGAAUGCGUAGGCUAGGCCCAUUGGCGGCGCUAGACACUGUGUGCCAGAGACCUUUGGUCUACUCACAGUGCGUCUAGCGGCUCAACCGCCCUUGGGAACCGGCCUCUGCCCCUCCUCAGAGGGUCACUACUACUCUUGAUCUCAAAUCAGGCAAGGCUACCCGCUGAACUUAAGCAUAUCAAUAAGCGGAGGA